rnacentral:lncRNA from 1 species
ACCAAGAGAAGAAGCAGAGGAAGACAAUAUCUUUAUGGCAGUAUCAUGUAGACUGUUCUGGGCCUGAGGACCCAGAAGAGCCUGGGAUCGAGGCUGUGGAAGGUGGAGGAGUCUGCUGAGCUUGAAGACAAGCACAGACCACUGUCUUCUUUCCAAGUCACCAGGAGGUCUGGAUCUCAAGCCACCAGAUCCCCAGUGACCCAGACUCCCAGAUCCUGUAUCCUACACCACCUGGGUCCUUGCGCCACAGUGGACCACCCAGCACGAAUGUUGGAAAGUUGGAGAUCGUGAGAGGCAUAAUCAUUAACCUGGACGGAAUGUUUGGAGGUUCCCGAGUUGAAGCAACUCAGGUGGAACCACGAGAGCUGUCAGAGGAGAAGGGACUCAUUGGGAAGGGCUGAGCUGACCCUGGCACCAGGCAGACUCAGGAUGGGCGAGGGUGUCUGGCCACUGCUGGGGCAGAACUGCUAUAAACAAGCUGUGCCUGUCAUGUCUUCUCUUUAGCUUGUCCAGAUAACGACGCCUAAUGUUUCACCUUGACCGUCUGCAGCACAUUGACAAGAAGCCUGCUGAGGAGCUAGUAUUUAUUAUUUCAAUGAGUGAUGGCAUAAUAACAUUAUAGUUUUGUUCAUUGUCUCUGUAUGAAAAGUGAGGGGAAAUGAGGAUGGGAAGGCUUGUCACUUCCAGAUGACACAAGGACAGGCUGGAGUACAGGCUCAGCUUUUCUCCACGAUGCACCCAGGAGGCUCAGCCUAUGCUCCAGAAAAGACCUUCCCAGAGAGUGGGUCAAGUUCGUCACUUGCCCUUGUCCCAUCCCCUACGCUUGACAGAGCUCAGUACAUAGUACCCAGCAAAUUGCAAUUGGUAUGAAAGCAGCACCUCGCCUGGCACAUGAGGUCAAGUCCAAGGAUGCCAGAAGGGAUCUUGUCUUCAGUGUCUCCAAAAUGCCAAAGGGAAACAGACAACACGGAGAAGCCAGGUUUCUUUAAUGGGCUUGCCCUUUCUCUGUCGUUCUUCAUCUCGCUCUGCAACCAGCAAGCGCCUCUGCAGAUGCCUGCCUCCUCCAACUGAGCCCCUGGAAAGGCUUGCUCUGCAGCCUGGCCAGCGUGCCGCCUAUCUUCUCUUCUCCCUCAUGUUCUAGCAGAAACUGCAGGUUCUCUUCCCAACAGACACAGGCUUUCUUUCAAAACCCUGUUUUCUCUAUGCUCCAGGCUAUGAAUACACACAUGCACACACACACACACACACACACACACACAAACACACACACAAACACGCACACACAGUAACCAAGUUAGAAAGAAGAAAACCAUAGUUUCAGCAAGAAUUUUCUCGUUUGCCCUGUGCGAAAGGGUGGGGGUCAGAUGCUGUCUCUGGCCUGAAGACAUUCUGUACUUCGUCUCAGGUCCACAGCUACCUCUGGGCUCUCUGCCCUGGGGAACACCGGCAGGGCUCUCAGCCAGAAGGAGCUGCUUUAGGGAGCUAGAGGGGCCCAUUACUGUAUUUGCUUUGUUCUGGUUUUUGUCUUGCAGAAAGGUUUGGUUUUCAUUUAUGGUUUUGUUCAUGUGAAAGAUAUCCUAAUUUUGGAGUUCCCCUCAUGGCGCAGCAGUAAUAAACCUGACUAGUAUCCAUGAGGACGUGGGUUCUAUCCCUGGCCUCACUCAGUGGGUUAAGGAUCCAGCAUUGCCAUGAGCUGUGGUGUAGGUUGCAGAGGUGGCUCAGAUCUGGUGUUGCUACGGCUGUGGUGUAGGCCCGCAGCUGCAGCUUUGAUUCAACCCUUAGCUUGGGAACUUCCCUAUGCCUCUGGUGCAGCCCUAAAAAUUAAAAAAAAAAA